rnacentral:rRNA from 1 species
UACAGAGGUCUCAAGCGUUGUUCGGAUUCAUUGGGCGUAAAGGGUGUGUAGGUGGCGCGCUAAGUCGGGUGUGAAAUUUCGGAGCUUAACUCCGAAACUGCAUUCGAUACUGGCGUGCUUGAGGACUGGAGAGGAGACUGGAAUUCAUGGUGUAGCAGUGAAAUGCGCAGAUAUCAGGAAGAACACCCGUGGCGAAGGCGGCUCUCUGGGACGGUACUGACGCUGAGACGCGAAAGCGUGGGGAGCAAACAGG